UGGGCGCAAGCCUGAACCAGCCAUGCCGCGUGAGUCAUGAAGGCCUUAGGGUCGUAAAGCUCUUUCGCCACACUUGUAAAUGACAGUAUCUGGUAAAGAAACCCCGGCUAACUCCGUCCCAGCAGACCGCGGUAAUACGGAGGGGGUUAACGUUGUUCGGAAUUACUGGGCGUAAAGCGUCGCGUAGGCGGAUUAGUAAGUUAGAGGUGAAAUCCCCGGGCUCAACCCCGGAACUGCCUUUAAUACUGCUAGUCUUGAGUUCGAGAGAGGUGAGUGGAAUUCCCGAGUGUAGAGGUGAAAAUUCGUAGAUAUUCGGAGGAACACCAGUGGCGAAGGCGGCUCACUGGCUCGAUACUGACGCUGAGGUGCGAAAGUGUGGGGAGCAAACAGGAUUAGAUACCCUGGUACUCCACACCGUAAACGAUGAAUGCCAGUCGUCGGGUAGCAUGCUAUUCCGUGACACACCCAACGGAUUAAGCAUUCGGCCUGGGGAGUACGGUCGCAAGAUUAAAACUCAAAGGAAUUCACGGGCGCCCGCACAAGCGC
rnacentral:rRNA from 1 species